GGUCAUCCUGUCAGCACUGGGGGCCCAAGAACUCCUCAACUCGCUGCACUCCUACUGCUUCUGCUCCCAGGGGAACAGGAGCAUGGGUGCCACCUGUGGGAGCAGGUGGAGAAGAAUGGCGAGCUGAAGAGGGGCAGCUGCCUACAGCCAGGUGCACACGCUGCAGGAGGAGCUGGACGAGCUGAAGGGAGGGGGCUCCCUGCCUUAGCAGCCUGCUGCCCCCAGCCAGGUUUGGUGGCAGCAGUGGGAUCCAAAGGAGACAUCUGAUGGCUUAGGGGAUGAGAAACACAGGCAGUGGUACCUGCAAAACCUUUGAGUUCUCCAUCUUUGUCACUGAUUCUGAGAGCCGUGGAGUCAGCUCCAGAGUUUCAGCCAGCAGCAGAAGCAGAGCUGUGGGCAGU